rnacentral:rRNA from 1 species
AUAUCACCAAGAAUACCCAUUGCGAAGGCGAUCUGCUGGAACUCAACUGACGCUAAGGCGCGAAAGCGUGGGGAGCAAACAGGAUUAGAUACCCUGGUAGUCCACGCCCUAAACGAUGUACACUAGUUGUUGGGGUGCUAGUCAUCUCAGUAAUGCAGCUAACGCAUUAAGUGUACCGCCUGGGGAGUACGGUCGCAAGAUUAAAACUCAAAGGAAUAGACGGGGACCCGCACAAGCGGUGGAGCAUGUGGUUUAAUUCGAAGAUACGCGAAGAACCUUACCUGGGCUUGAUAUCCUAAGAACCUUUUAGAGAUAAGAGGGUGCUAGCUUGCUAGAACUUAGAGACAGGUGCUGCACGGCUGUCGUCAGCUCGUGUCGUGAGAUGUUGGGUUAAGUCCCGCAACGAGCGCAACCCACGUAUUUAGUUGCUAACGGUUCGGCCGAGCACUCUAAAUAGACUGCCUUCGUAAGGAGGAGGAAGGUGUGGACGACGUCAAGUCAUCAUGGCCCUUAUGCCCAGGGCGACACACGUGCUACAAUGGCAUAUACAAUGAGACGCAAUACCGCGAGGUGGAGCAAAUCUAUAAAAUAUGUCCCAGUUCGGAUUGUUCUCUGCAACUCGAGAGCAUGAAGCCGGAAUCGCUAGUAAUCGUAGAUCAGCCAUGCUACGGUGAAUACGUUCCCGGGUCUUGUACUCACCGCCCGUCACACCAUGGGAGUUGAUUUCACUCGAAGCCGGAAUACUAAACUAGUUACCGUCCACAGUGGAAUCAGCGACUGGGGUGAAGUCGUAACAAGGUAACCGUAGGAGAACCUGCGGUUGGAUCACCUCCUUUCUA